rnacentral:rRNA from 1 species
CAAUAGCGUAUAUUAAAGUUGUUGCGGUUAAAAAGCUCGUAGUUGGAUUUCUGUCGAAGACGUUCGGUCCGCUCUAUGAGCGUGUAUCUGAUCCGGCUUUGGCAUCCUCGUGGGGGACGUAACUGUGCUUGAUUGCAUGGUGCGGAAUUCACGACUUUUACUUUGAGGAAAUUAGAGUGUUCACGGCAGGCAAGCGCCUUGAAUAUAUUAGCAUGGAAUAAUACUAUAGGACUUUGGUUCUAUUUUGUUGGUUUCUAGGACUAAAGUAAUGAUUAAUAGGGAUAAUUGGGGGCAUUUGUAUUAACGCGUCAGAGGUGGAAUUCUUGGAUUGCGUUACGACAAACGACUGCGAAAGCAUUUGCCAAGGAUGUUUUCAUUGAUCAAGAACGAAAGUAUGGGGAUCGAAGAUGAUCAGAU